GAUUUGAUAGCAUAAUUGGUUAGUGCAUCUGCUGAACAUAGGACGCCCAGAAGAUCUUGAAGGCAGUAGAUCCCCGUUCGAUCCGGGGUCAAGUCA